CGGACAGCCUGAUGGUAAACAAUACUGUGUGGCUGAGACGUCAGAACACUAUUGGGAUGAUGUGAGCUGUGACAGUGAGCUUUCAUUCUUCUGUCAAGGAGCCCUGAAAGUUAAGAUAGCCGUGAUGAGGAUUAAGAUUCAGACUGAUGCUGACCUUUCAGAUCCAGCUACUAACGGCGAGAUCCUUCAACAGCUAGGUGCAGUGCUGACAAACAAGGCUUCGCUGACUGACUUCAACCUGCAGUGGAAGAUUCAACCCAGAAAACAGACAAAGAGAAACGAAGUGAAUGAUGAAGCCAAUGGACAAGAUGCCCUUUGAAAAAUUACAUGCAGUAGGCUAUAUUGUGCAUUUUAAAAGUAACUAAACACCAGGCUGUAAAGCACUGUUUAACCACUCUCUAUGGUUGAAUGUUUCAGUGGAAACAUUGAAGGUCAGCAAAGAUGUGAUUUUCAAGGGUUUUUAGUUACUACAACUAACCUAAAAAAAGGAUGAUGAUGAUGUCAUCCUUCACCUUUGAGUCGUCCGUUUUUAUAAAUUCAGGUCACCUCUUUCUGUGUCACCGCUGAUUCUUUGGUGUUCAGUUAUCUUACUUUAACAGGCAUGUCCACUGUAAAAUAUUUAUUUGUAGUGUUUUUUGAGUUCCAAAUCUUUUUUUUUUGUCUAUGAUAGGUAGUCUACAGUACAACAAAAUGACAGACUAUAGCUGUAAUCCGUGGC